rnacentral:rRNA from 1 species
CCGAGUCUAACAACUCAUCAACCCUGUGAACAUACCUAAACGUUGCUUCGGCGGGAACAGACGGCCCCGUAACACGGGCCGCCCCCGCCAGAGGACCCCCUAACUCUGUUUCUAUAAAUGUUUUUUCUGAGUAAACAAGCAAAUAAAUUAAAACUUUCAACAACGGAUCUCUUGGCUCUGGCAUCGAUGAAGAACGCAGCGAAAUGCGAUAAGUAAUGUGAAUUGCAGAAUUCAGUGAAUCAUCGAAUCUUUGAACGCACAUUGCGCCCGCCAGUAUUCUGGCGGGCAUGCCUGUUCGAGCGUCAUUACAACCCUCAGGCCCCCGGGCCUGGCGUUGGGGAUCGGCGGAGCCCCCCGUGGGCACACGCCGUCCCCCAAAUACAGUGGCGGUCCCGCCGCAGCUUCCAUUGCGUAGUAGCUAACACCUCGCAACUGGAGAGCGGCGCGGCCACGCCGUAAAACACCCAACUUCUGAAUGUUGACCUCGAAUCAGGUAGGAAUACCCGCUGAACUUAAGCAUAUC